rnacentral:lncRNA from 1 species
UCCUGUGUAGUUUUAUAAAGGUGUGUUAAACAUUUUUAGUACUGUAAGUGUCUGUGGUGUUACAUAUGAUACUGUUCUCAACGCUAUAACGAGUUAAUAAAAAUCAAAAUGGACAACAUUUUGACAAAGAUAGGAGAGUUCGGAUUGUACCAGACACGUGUGUAUACCUUGAUUUGUUGGAGCACCCUGUUUGCUAGACUGUAUGAAAUGAAGUCAGUGAUAUGACUUUAUUAACCUGAUAACAGAAUGAUACAUACAUGUACACUGUACAAAGUAUCUAUCACCAGGACCUUGUCAACAACUACAUAUCACCUUCAUCGAUGGAUACCAUCCAUAGCUAUAACCAGUGCUACCUGUACUCGUUUGAUAAGGAUGAUAUCAAGUUCGAUAGUAGGCUGUAUUAAUGUAUGUCUGUCUCAACGUAUCCUGUCUCAAUGUAUGUCUGUCUGUCUCAACGUAUCCUGUCUCAAUGUAUGUAUGUCUGUCUGUCGGUCUCUCGCAGUGUAUAUAUGUAUAGGUGUAUGAGUAUAUAUGUAGAUGCUUUUUAUUUUGUAUUAGGUUAUUGUGUAUACUAGUACUCUAGAGUUUAUUUACAUAGCUUAUCCUUGUUUGUAAUAUUAUGCCAGUACUAUACUGUAUUCGUCGUACACUAUUUCCUCCUUCUUCAAUGGUCUUACAUGAAUUCAGAGCCUCGCAAAAUUAAAACAUUCUCAACGAGUUUCAUAAAUCUCAUAUCAAAUGGAAACUCAUGUGAAAUUUUAUUUAUCACAUGCCGUAAUAAAAUGAAAAAACAUCAAUUUAAAAUCAUUUGUUUUAAUUCCUUCUUUAUCAAUCGUAACCAAAUCACAGCUAUAAGAAUAUCAUUCCACAGAAUGCGAUGAGACAUAUAUAUAUAUGUUUCCCAAAUCUGUACAUAAUUUGACAGUAGCAUCAACUCAUUUUAUUAUUUAAGUUUUCAGCUUUAGUCUAACAUUACAAACUUACACCGAAAACUCGUAAUGCAAGUGAGACAAUGUUUCUAACGAUUUAAAAAAUGACUUCGCCAGACUGUCAGAAAGCCGCGUCAUAGCAGAAAGCCGCGUUUUAGCGCGCACAAGUACAAAAUCUAGGUGACACAUGUUUACCAGCCGGACUAGUCACUAUUCUUCUUGGUUUAAAGGCUCUUGGAUGACUGGCGUUGUCCUCGUUUGGAACCACAUUCAUGUGGAAGUGUCCUCCAAUCACUUUACUAGCAAACAUUGUUUGAAGUCCUCUGAGACUACGUGGCUGUCUUUUGAACCGCGUAUAUAUAUGCACAACCAUCAUUUUGUGUGAUCUAUAAAUGCUCUAUAUUAUUGUGUCAUCAUUGACAAUUGAUAUUUCCGUUGAUUUGGGAUGGACACAUCUACUAUAUGUAAUCGAAAAGUAAUAAUAAGGGAUCAUUCUCUCGCUACAACUGUAGUACAGAAAAGAACUCUGAUAAGUCUUUUUCACUUUUAAAGUUUCAUAUUAUAUCAAUACAACCUUGACGUAAUUUGAAAAUGAAACAAUAUACACAAGUGGUAAAUGUAAGAACUUGAAAUGGACAGGAAACACUUUAAACCUCUGGGCAUCAAAACGCCACACCAUUAAAGAGAAACAUUAUGACGAAACUGUCAUUUCAUUUCAUAUUCCUUCUACUGUGGAUCUGACCAGCGGUGCAUUUCACAACAAGUCAGUGACAGUUUAUCAACCAACAAAACAAACGAUAUUCAUUUUUAUAACCAAAAGUUAAAACCCUGUGAAUCAGAUAAACCAGAAUAGUUUACAGCAGCAAGUGUCUGAUUCAUUCAUGAAAAGGAUUUUUCUAUAGCUAUUUUCAACUGCCGCUAAAAGAAAGAACCAAAUUAAAUACUCACCGAUUUUGUUUAAAUACAUAGCAUGUAUCUACAAACUCAAUACAGCUAAGUACCCUGUUUGACAAGAAACAAGUUCAGAUAUGUUAAUCAUAGUUUAUUCAAAAUCACACUCAUCCUACCGAAACACGAUUUAUCAUUUUCGUUCGGGACUGUGAUAUAUCUGUUAGUACAUAGUGAAAUAUUGUAAAUAGAUAUUUAAAAGGUACAUAAGAUUAAUAACUUUUGAUAUGUUUCUUUUAGAUGAAAAGUGUUGGAGAGUAUCUCAAUGCUGUUACAUUACAUUGUUGUACACACAAUAUUUGCAUCAUUGUGUUGCUUAUAGCGUGAAAUUUUUGGAUAAAUUAACAGGCACGUGCCCAAAUGGUCUAUAAUUGAUUUUACAGAUGGCAGCAUAUGUUUGGUGGUGAAAAUCAACAUCGAGAGAUUACCAAUACGUUAAUUUGAUCUUGUUAUCGAUGACACUAGUUCAGUGUUUGCUAUCUAGGUAGUACGAAAAAGCCCACUCAACCAUACUAUUGUGAUAAUAACCGCUCUACCACACGCUAUCCUAGAGUCUUUUGGAAUUAAAGUUUAAGCAUUUAACAAAUCCUUUUUACUGCAAUUUAAUUGUGUGAAACACAAUAUUGAAUUGAUCUUAAUAAGACACGGAAUGGGUAGUAGACAAAUCGUGCUCUCGAUGCUUAAAAAGACCAUUUUGCGUUUCAGUGACAGCAAUGAAACAAUAUAUUGAUUUGGAUAUAAAAUGACUUGUUGGUGAAAACAAUCCAAUCAAUUUUUAGCGUACUUGUGUCAAUAAAAGUAUUUAUAAAUGCAUUCGACAGACGUUGUUUUUGUUGCACCAACACAGAUUGAAAACCAUAUCCAAAUAACUGAUAUACACGUAAAUCUAAUGUCAUGCCACACAUCCAAAAGAAUCAAUACAAACUUCAAUGAAUAGGUACUGAGUAUCACAGGAGUGUGUGUUUUUUUUGUUUUGUUUUUUGUUGGUUUUGCUCCUUUUGCAGAUAAAAUAUGGAUCCUUAGGAUAUUUUUAUUUCCAACCUGAAGUGGAUUACAAUGGACUUGUAAGGGAAACAUACAGUGAAUUAUGGAUGCCUACAAGACGCUACGAAAUAAAACUUCGCUAGGGAGGAAAGUUGUGUAUUUAGUUGUAUGGAUCCUUGGGAGAAUUUCUGUAUUUCCAACCUAAACUGGAUCACAAUGGGCUGGCAAGAUGGCAGUCCCCUAUAUAUUGAUUGCGAUUACAGUUGAACAUUUGGUGUCAGAAUUGUCUCGUGUAGCUACAUUCCGACAUGUAUCGUCCAGAUUCUGGGUACUGGACUUGGCCAGAUGGUACUUCGUGGACAACGAUGGGAUGACCUUCGAGUGCAUUUUAUGUGGUAAAAUGCACGCAUAUAGAGAAGGCAGAUUCUCUGAAGGGGAACUGAUGUCCAUUCAUCAUAGGUAUUGUCAAGUGCGAAUCUUUGGAGUGCGAAACCGGUACUAAUUAAUUAGCUGGCAGAUGGAUCUUCACGCCGCCAUCUGAUCCAAUUUUUUCCAUAUGUGUUUUCAUUCUUCAACAUGUGACAGUCAAGCAAGUUAAAUAAUUUUGGAAAACCUGCACCAAUUAAACAAAGAACCUGUACAUUAGACAGAACUGAUUCACGAAGAAAUGUGUCAGCACUUGCAACAAUGAUAAUAUGUUUUACUAUAAACUGAAAACAGUUUGUACUUAGGUUCAUUUGGGACAUAUUGUUUCAAUGAUGGAUUGAUAUGAUCAAAAAAGGAAAAUAAUACUGGUUUAAUCCUGUUUAGUGGAAGUAAGCGUGGGUGUUAUCAAUAACUCUGAAAAGACACAAACAGUUUUAAUACUGUCUCUGAAACUGAUACAAUAAAAUAAUUUUAGAAUAUAUCUUCCAUCAAGUUCAUUUUGAUUCAA